rnacentral:rRNA from 1 species
UGGGGAAUAUUGCACAAUGGGGGAAACCCUGAUGCAGCGACGCCGCGUGAGCGAAGAAGGCUUUCGAGUCGUAAAGCUCUGUCCUAUGAGAAGAUAAUGACGGUAUCAUAGGAGGAAGCCCUGGCUAAAUACGUGCCAGCAGCCGCGGUAAUACGUAUGGGGCGAGCGUUGUCCGGAAUUAUUGGGAGUAAAGGGUACGUAGGCGGUUUUUUAAGUCAGGUGUCAAAGCGUGGAGCUUAACUCCAUUAAGCACUUGAAACUGAAAGACUUGAGUGAAGGAGAGGAAAGUGGAAUUGCUAGUGUAGCGGUGAAAUGCGUAGAUAGUAGGGGGAAUACCGGUGGCGAAGGCGACGUUCUGGACUUUUACUGACGCUCAGGUACGAAAGCGUGGGGAGCAAACAGG